GGAGUUCCUCCCAGUCCCAGAAUGCAGCUAAUCUCAGUUACCUCUUCCUCCCACACCACCAGCAGCUGGAGGAAUCCCAGCUUAUCUUGUUCUCACAGCUUAAAGACCAAGCUAACAUUUCUUCAAACAAAGAUUUCUAAUUUAAACUUUUUUUUUUGAAAACUACUACUGCGAAGCAUCAUUUCAGCUGCAUUUUGGUUCCCAGCUUUUUUGUAUUCUUUGAUUAAAAGGUUGAAAACACUGAUGAUUUGAAUGAAUUCAACUGUGCUGGCCCCGAAGCAGGGAUGCCUACCACUCAGAACCCCACACCAUAUAGGGCUUGCUCUCCAAAGACAUAUCCAGACUUCAGACUCGGAGAUUCUGACCCAGUAAGAGAGAUGGGACCCAGAAAUCUCUCCAUAUUCAAGCUUUUCAGAUGACUCUAGUGAAGAGAAGUCAGAGCCACUGUUCCAGCAAAGACAACAUCAAGCUUCAUCCUUGCUCCCCAAGCCAGUGACUCCACCUACUGGAGGCCGGCUUUUAUAGGCUACUCAGGUAAAUGACGUUAAAGGAAAUAAAUCUUACUCCUUUGGAAGACUGAAAAAAAAAAGAGACGAAAUGUCUUAUAAUCUGAGACACAUUUCUUCACGCUGAUAUCAAUGAAGCCCUGCAAACAUCUAAACCCUGAAUAAAUGCAUCAGUUAAAAUCUAUUCCCCAUGCAUAAAAGAAGUGAUAACACCUUCUAAUUGGCUAGUUUGCUAGGAAAGAGGAUUUGAGUUGUGAGGUGCCCUGCCAUGAGUUAGGAAUCAUGUGAACUUAAUUUAAAUUGAUUAAAAGCACUUUGCUUAGAUUUCAUUGGCUAGUUCUAAUCUGAUUGGAUUGGAACUGGGAAUUUUGUAAAGGUGGCAGUGUCUGAGUUCAAAGUAUUGCUUAAAAACAAAACAAGCAAAUGCUAUCGUGGAUCAAUGUAAAUUCUGCUGAGCUAGCAGUAACUUCUGAAAACACCUUUUGGGAGGAGAAAUUUUUGACACUUUUUAGAGCAAAGUGAAACUUCGGAUUGGAAAGACACCACUAAAGGGAUUUUUGUGUUCUUAGAAGCUUGAGGUGUCUAAACAAACAUUUCUCUUCCAGUUAGUGAGAUGCAGAAGGAAAGACUGAUUGUAGCAACAAAUACACAAUUUGAUUCCCUCAACUGAAACAGCCAUUGAAUUCAGGAAGAGAAGAAAAGUGUAAGGAUUUUUUAAAAGUUUCAUGCUAGAUAGAAGACAUUUGGAACUUGUGCUAGUCAUGGGAAAGGUCUGAUAGAAUUUAGAGUAAAUUAUAAAGAUGCAUAC